rnacentral:lncRNA from 1 species
CAUUUAUUUAUAAUUUUAUGUUCUCCUCGUAGGUGUUCCUGGGCCAAGGCCUGCUGAGAUGCAAGAAGGUACGCUGACCUCUCUGAGCAAUCCACCAACGACAUGACCUACAGAGGGACAAAUCUGGUCAGACACGGUUCUCACAGUCAUUAUCUCUCACCUAUUGUCAUGGCUCAUGUAAUGGGAGCAGCCAGGGGAGGGGAGAGGAGUCUGGUCACCUUGGAGUCAGGAACAGGCAGCUGGCCCCACAGCUGGCCAGGCAGCUAUGCAAGCAGGGAGUCUCUCUGAGAGCAAAAUCCAGAAGCCAAAAUAAAUGGGUCAGGUGGAAAACAGAUGACCAGAACGGCAAGCCAUGCUGAAGGUUGGUCCCAGGGAGUGAAGGUGAGCCAGGACAUAAUGGAUGGAUGCUGGGGGGGCUUUGGAUGCUGCAGGAGUCCAGGGGGCCGUGCAGGAACAGGGACCAAAGAACCAGAAAGGAAGUAAAGCUCAGAGGCCCGAUGCGAUUACGCUGUCCACAUGUCCAUGUCUCCACCCUGCAUGCUUCUGAGGCCCUGCUUUAGUUCUCAGGCCUUCAUGAUACGAAGUUUCUGACAUUCACAACAGUCCCCCAAUUUUAACCCCCUCUCCUACCAUCAUGACCCCGAAUUUUGAGGAGACAGCAAAGCUCUGGCCCAGGAGCUGCUAAGGGGGUGCCCACAGGCAUUGGUGGUCACCAACCUAAAAAGGUCAUAGGAAUGGCUCUCCCUGGGGAGGAAACAGGCCUGACCGUAUAUUUAGUCCCUGAGUGAAUAAGAAAACUACCUAGUGACUUGAAGAGUGGAAACUUGAUUUCUAAAUUAUGAUCCUUCCAGGACGUCUAGGUUCUCUAAAGUGCACACUGUGAGGAAACGGAAAGGCUUAACUGUCUUCAGUUUCUGAUUAGAGCACAGAAAAGAGAGAGAACACUAGUAAACAGCACGUAUUAGCCCAAUAUUUUUGGUUGGUGCGCAGAAGGCCAACCGAGUUUUCAGCUGAAGAUUUUUUUGUUGUUGUUUUUCCAUUUCCCUAAAGUCAAUAAUCUUUACCUGCUAGAUAUUGCUUAAAGCAGAAUUUUCAUCUAAUUCUCAUUUGAGGGGACUGAAAAGGAAAAACUAAAUAAUAAUACCUCAUUUGUGUAUAAUGCUUGUCUUUCACAGAAGACACCCUACCCAUUUAGGACUAUCUAAUUUAGAGUAACAACGCUUUUAUAAUGUAAAUACUAGUAAGGGCUAUUAUCAUUUUAUAAAUGAGGCAUGAAAGAAAUCCAGGGAGGUGGGAAUGAAAUGACUGGUUCAAUGUAACUUCCAUUUAAGAGGUGUCAUUGCUGGUUUAUUUUUCACUUUUUAUUAACAACGAAGCCACAUUUUGGAUAAACAUGUUUAUUAAAGGUGUAUCUUGCCCUUACAUUUGAAAAUGAAAAAUCUCUUAGGGAGAAAUAACAAGGACCAACAUAGUCACGUGACUCCUCGGAUCCAGAUGCUCUCAUGAAUCUAGAGCUAACCAAUCAACUCCCGACCAACUCUGCUCAUCCUCGGCAGGGAUCUCAGCUGGCACCACAUGCAUCACAAGCCACUCUGGUGCCAUCCCCUCUCCGUGGGAGUUAUGUCAUAAUGGUCUUGUUGCCUCGAGUCGACCUGGGAAACGCCAUUACCUAUACAAAUUUAGCACAUACGUAAAGGCACUGAUACUCUUGUUCUUUCAUGAGCUUCAGGUCAGAGAGUUUUUCUGAUCUUUUAAUGUAUUUAUUCACGUUUUCAUUUCCUCACACUCUCAAGCAUUCAUGCAUUCAUUUGACAAACAUCUUGGGCCCAAAAUGUAUUGUUUUAGAUAUUCUAGAUGUUAAGGAUAAAAACAGGGAAAAGACAAAAUCAACGACUUCAAGAAAUGCACAGCCUAGUAAAGAGCCAGAUUAAACACUUGCUGUUCAUUGUGGAAGGUGAGGAGAUAAGAGAUAAGGACCAGAAUAGUUUGGGGAGCACAGAGGGGAAAUCUGGCUUGAUCUGUGUGGGGUGCCCACAGGCAUUGGGAGUCACCAACCUAAAAAGGUCAUAGGAAUGGCUCUCCCUGGGGAGGAAACAGGCCUGACCCUUGAUUUAGUUCCUGAGUGAAUAAGAAAAGGGAAGGCCUUGGACAGAGGUGGUCUGAGAGCCAAGCACUCCUGGAAGAGGACCUGUGCACUCCGGGUGUGGGGGACAGCAUGUGCAAUGACAUGAG